rnacentral:rRNA from 1 species
CCUACGGGAGGCUGCAGUGGGGAAUAUUGCACAAUGGGGGAAACCCUGAUGCAGCAACGCCGCGUGAGCGAUGAAGGCCGUCGGGUCGUAAAGCUCUGUCCUAAGGGAAGAAUACUGACGGUACCUUAGGAGGAAGCCCCGGCUAACUACGUGCCAGCAGCCGCGGUAAUACGUAGGGGGCUAGCGUUCUCCGGAAUUACUGUGCGUAAAGGGUGCGUAGGCGGCCCUUCAGGUCGAGGGUUAAAGGCUACGGCUAAACCGUAGUAAGCCUUUGAAACUGUAGGGGUUGAGUGCAGGAGAGGAGAGUGGAAUUCCCAGUGUAGCGGUGAAAUGCGUAGAUAUUUAGAGGAACACCAGUUGCGAAGGCGGCUCUCUGGAAUGUAACUGACGCUGAGGUACGAAAGCGUGGGGAGCGAACAGGAUUAGAUACCCCAGUAGUC